UUAACCGAAUAGGGGAGCCGGAGGGAAACCGAGUCUUAAUUGGGCGUUAAGUUGCAGGGUAUAGACCCGAAACCCGGUGAUCUAGCCAUGGGCAGGUUGAAGGUUGGGUAACACUAACUGGAGGACCGAACCGACUAAUGUUGAAAAAUUAGCGGAUGACCUGUGGCUGGGGGUGAAAGGCCAAUCAAACCGGGAGAUAGCUGGUUCUCCCCGAAAGCUAUUUAGGUAGCGCCUCGUGAAUUCAUCUCCGGGGGUAGAGCACUGUUUCGGCUAGGGGGCCAUCCCGGCUUACCAACCCGAUGCAAACUGCGAAUACCGGAGAAUGUUAUCACGGGAGACACACGGCGGGUGCUAACGUCCGUCGUGAAGAGGGAAACAACCCAGACCGCCAGCUAAGGUCCCAAAGUCAUGGUUAAGUGGGAAACGAUGUGGGAAGGCCCAGACAGCCAGGAUGUUGGCUUAGAAGCAGCCAUCAUUUAAAGAAAGCGUAAUAGCUCACUGGUCGAGUCGGCCUGCGCGGAAGAUGUAACGGGGCUAAACCAUGCACCGAAGCUGCGGCAGCGACACUGUGUGUUGUUGGGUAGGGGAGCGUUCUGUAAGCCUGCGAAGGUGGCCUGUGAGGGUUGCUGGAGGUAUCAGAAGUGCGAAUGCUGACAUAAGUAACGAUAAAGCGGGUGAAAAGCCCGCUCGCCGGAAGACCAAGGGUUCCUGUCCAACGUUAAUCGGGGCAGGGUGAGUCGACCCCUAAGGCGAGGCCGAAAGGCGUAGUCGAUGGGAAACGGGUUAAUAUUCCCGUACUUGGUGUUACUGCGAAGGGGGGACGGAGAAGGCUAUGUUGGCCGGGCGACGGUUGUCCCGGUUUAAGCGUGUAGGUGUGUGUUCCAGGUAAAUCCGGUUCACUUUAACACUGAGGCGUGACGACGAGGCACUACGGUGCUGAAGCAACAAAUGCCCUGCUUCCAGGAAAAGCCUCUAAGCAUCAGGUAACAUCAAAUCGUACCCCAAACCGACACAGGUGGUCAGGUAGAGAAUACCAAGGCGCUUGAGAGAACUCGGGUGAAGGAACUAGGCAAAAUGGUGCCGUAACUUCGGGAGAAGGCACGCUGACACGUAGGUGAAGUGAUUUACUCAUGGAGCUGAAGUCAGUCGAAGAUACCAGCUGGCUGCAACUGUUUAUUAAAAACACAGCACUGUGCAAACACGAAAGUGGACGUAUACGGUGUGACGCCUGCCCGGUGCCGGAAGGUUAAUUGAUGGGGUCAGCGCAAGCGAAGCUCCUGAUCGAAGCCCCGGUAAACGGCGGCCGUAACUAUAACGGUCCUAAGGUAGCGAAAUUCCUUGUCGGGUAAGUUCCGACCUGCACGAAUGGCGUAAUGAUGGCCAGGCUGUCUCCACCCGAGACUCAGUGAAAUUGAACUCGCUGUGAAGAUGCAGUGUACCCGCGGCAAGACGGAAAGACCCCGUGAACCUUUACUAUAGCUUGACACUGAACAUUGAGCCUUGAUGUGUAGGAUAGGUGGGAGGCUUUGAAGUGUGGACGCCAGUCUGCAUGGAGCCGACCUUGAAAUACCACCCUUUAAUGUUUGAUGUUCUAACGUGGACCCGUUACCCGGGUUGCGGACAGUGUCUGGUGGGUAGUUUGACUGGGGCGGUCUCCUCCUAAAGAGUAACGGAGGAGCACGAAGGUUGGCUAAUCCUGGUCGGACAUCAGGAGGUUAGUGCAAUGGCAUAAGCCAGCUUGACUGCGAGCGUGACGGCGCGAGCAGGUGCGAAAGCAGGUCAUAGUGAUCCGGUGGUUCUGAAUGGAAGGGCCAUCGCUCAACGGAUAAAAGGUACUCCGGGGAUAACAGGCUGAUACCGCCCAAGAGUUCAUAUCGACGGCGGUGUUUGGCACCUCGAUGUCGGCUCAUCACAUCCUGGGGCUGAAGUAGGUCCCAAGGGUAUGGCUGUUCGCCAUUUAAAGUGGUACGCGAGCUGGGUUUAGAACGUCGUGAGACAGUUCGGUCCCUAUCUGCCGUGGGCGCUGGAGAACUGAGGGGGGCUGCUCCUAGUACGAGAGGACCGGAGUGGACGCAUCACUGGUGUUCGGGUUGUCAUGCCAAUGGCACUGCCCGGUAGCUAAAUGCGGAAGAGAUAAGUGCUGAAAGCAUCUAAGCACGAAACUUGCCCCGAGAUGAGUUCUCCCUGAGACUUAAAGUCUCCUGAAGGAACGUUGAAGACGACGACGUUGAUAGGCCGGGUGUGUAAGCGCAGCGAUGCGUUGAGCUAACCGGUACUAAUGAACCGUGAGGCUUAACCUUACAACGCCGAAG
rnacentral:rRNA from 1 species